GUAUUCCAACAAAUUGCCCUAAUGGUUAUGUGUUGCUUACUGACCAAAAUGCUAGCCCUAAUUGUUACCUGUAUAGUGGAAAUACUGAGAAAUCAUGGUAUAACGCUUGGAGGACAUGUGCCAUGACUCCUGGAGCUUUCCUGUGGAACCCAAACAGUGAGGCGGAAGCCAAUUCCGUACAGACUAAACUUAUGCUUGAAAACGAGAAAUGCUGUGGGUUGGUGGCAAAAAAGACAUUAAUGGAAAGUUUGUAUUUAAAAUUGGCAAUACUGGAUUUGUAUUGGAUCAGGUACCAUUUGGAGUAAAUGCGGCAACAAAUGCAGGACUACAGACUUUUAUUAAUACUGAUGGUGAAUGUUUAGUCCUUUUCAUGUUACAACAGUUGCAACUAAUACACUUUUUUGCAGUAAAUGCGGCAACAAAUGCAGGACUACAGACUUUUAUUAAU